rnacentral:lncRNA from 1 species
GAGCUUGGGUUUUCUCUUCGAUUCACUGCUCCCCAGGUUAGUUGUUUGUUGUCACUCUCCCUUUCCCCGCGCAAUUUGGUAUGGUUCUGGUCAUGUAGCUUCCAGAUCUAGGUCUCGGGGUUUUGUUGGUGCGUUGUUGUUGUAGGUCCUAUUGCUGUUUGAUGAUUUUAGUGGUUGGUUAGUGCGAUUUGUUGUUAGCCAAUGCUCAUUUGUGCAGUUCGUCGCAGAUCCCCUCUUCUCCGCGGAUCCCCUCUGCUCGCGCCAGUUCGUCAUGGAGAACGUCUGCUCCGGUGUUAGGUUUCAGAUUUGAUCUCCUCGUUGUGGGCACUAUUAGGUUGUGUGUUGAUGUGUUUGUCUUCCGAUGGGGUUAGAUUUUGUGUUUUUUCAUGUGUGUAGGCGUGUCUCUGUGUGUGAUUCAGAGCUUUUGCAGUUGAAGUACAGUCAUCUGGUGGUUGUUUAGUGUUUGAUUGCUACUAAUCUGUUUUGAUUGCUACUGAGACUUUGCAGUUUGAUGUUCAGUCAUCUGGUAGUUGUUUAGUGUUUUGAUUGCAAGUAGAAACAUGGGAAGAGAAUGAAUUUCUCUGGUGUGGUAGUAUAGGGAUUCCCCUUUCUUGUUGAUUGCUUGGUCCAGUUUGGCUAGCUAUGAAUUACACUGUAAUACCCCCAGAUUUAUACUGAUAUGCUUCUAUGAUUUACACUGUAUUUGUAGCUCUGAUUUUACAUUUAUAAUCCCUAUAGUUUUACUUUUGUAAGAUCUUAUAUGUAAUGUGUCUCUGAACCCCAGUUUUUAUGAUGUGAAGUUUUUCUGAAUUUCUGUGUAUUGCAUCUCUGAAGUACACUGUAAGACGCUGUAAUUGCACUGUAACUUCUUGUGGUUUUUGCAAUGCAAUCCUCUAGAUUACCCCACUGUAAUUCUUGUGCUUUUGGACUGUAACCCCCUAGAGUUACACUGUAGUGCCCAUUAGCCCUAUUUUGCACUGUACUUUCUUCAGAGUUUUCACUGUAAUUCUUGCCUUGCUUACUAUGUAAAUUGCAUCAGCAUUACAGUGUAAUUUCCAUAGUUUUUUUUACUGUAAUUUGCAUCAGUUAUUACACUGUAAUUCUUGCCUUGAUUACACUGUAAUACCUGCCUUGAUUACACUGUAAUUCUUGCCUUGAUUACACUGUAAUUCAUGCCUUGAUUUACAGUGGAAAGCCCCUCCGGGUUACUAUAUAAUUCUGAGUAUUUUUACUGUGUUAGUUUGCUUAGUUUUUUGUAGUUUACUGCCUCAGUUUACACUGUAAGUUGGAUCAUUAUUACUGUGUAAGCUGGAUCAGUAUUACAGUGCAUGUCUUGUUUACUCUGUAUUUUUUAUCAGUAUUACAGUGUAGUGUAAUUUGGUUUCCUGCCUUGAUUUUACGAUGUAGUUUGCAUAAGUUUUACCGUGUAAUUUCCCUAGUUUUAUUUUUUGUGUAAUUCCUGCCUUGAUUUUACUAUUUUGGAUCAGUAUUAUUAGUUACUUCUCUGUAGUUUUCAGCUUCAUUAUCUAUGGGGAGGCUACGGAAAGUCUCUCACAAGGAUGUUCUGGAAGCAUCUUCUAUUGAGAGUGCAGAUCCUUUGCAAGACCCCUUCGUGCCUAAUGACUUUGCGGAAGAUGGUUCUAAUUGUUGUAGGGCUUACACUGUAAUAUACCAGAGUUUUACCCUGUAAUAUGGUUGAGCACUGUAAUUGUUGUAGGGCUUGUACUGUAAUUUACCAGAGUUUUACACUGUAAUUGUUGUAGGGCUUACAAUAUUUGUCAGAUACAUUACAAUGGAUUUUACCUUUGAAUUGUGGGACUUACACUGUAAUAUACUGCAGAUUUACACUGUAAUUUGAAUAAUCCAGCACUGUAAUUGUUGUAGGGCUUACAGAGUAUUUUUCAGAUAGAUCAUAGUGGAUUUUACGUCUAAUUUUACGGUGUAUUUAUGAGUGUUGAUACCUGGGAAUGACAGUGUAAUUUCAGGGGAUUUACAGUGUAAUUCGUGGGCACUUUGACUGUAAUUCGUGGGUGUUUACAGUGUAACUUCAUCAGUUAUUCAAGUGUAAAUCCUUGGGACUUGCAGUGUCAUUUCCUUUGUAUUUACAGUGUAAAUCCAUUGUAUGCUUUUUCAGAGUUUGCACUUUAAUUUUCAGUUAUAAGGAUUUGCAGUGUAAUUUCUAUUGUUUUGCUAUUG